AACACACCCAGGAUCAGGCAUUAAUAAUCAUAAUCAUCAUUUCGAAACCCUUUUCCUCCCCAAUUCCACUUUUUUUUCCUUUCCUUUUUCAUUCUUUUUUUCCUCCAUUUCCUCUUCAGAAAUCACGAAAAUGGCAUACGCGCUCCCCCGCUUUUGAGAUGUCGCCGCCAUCACUACCGUGUACACGCAGGUACCUCGGCGUCAGUUUGCUGGGCUCCGGUAGCUUCCACCGAGAAUAAGCCUGCGGCUCCCCUACCGUGCACUGCUAAGUUGACGGCGCCACCUCAAAUCAGGGGGUGCGGCUUUUCAAAAGCAGAAAAACCUAAAUAGUAAGCAGACAAGGCCAGAAAUCAAUUAAGGGGGAAGAAGUGAGCCUGAUACUCAAGUCUCGGUUUUACUGUAAGUGAAAACUCAAUCCGGUCAACUAAAUCAUUGUAGUAGGAAAGUAGUGUUUGUUUGAAGACGUAUCUGUGAAGGAACAGAAAAUUACCUGACAUUUUAAGCAAGAGUGAAACUCCGAAAAUUGUUAAAAAUCACUGUGAUUCAGUAUUUCAAAGUGGAUUUGUUCAACGGCAUAAUUCAUACUAAUUUAGCUUGGUACAAUCGGACAAGAAAAGGCAUGGUUACGGACAGUUGCUGCUGCAAUAUCACAAAGAAUGCUGGUUUGUGCACACCUGUAACACAAAUGUUUCUUGAAUAUUAUUUUAUACAAUAAACUAUAGUGAUGCUUUAAUACGUGAUAGGACUACAUUACGGAAAAAAUGCAUAUUUAAACAGGAAUGUAAAGCAAAGUACUCUAGAAUAGCAUUGAAUUUGAGGUACAGUAUGUUUAACAGUAAGACAUAAGCAGAACGAUAUGUGAAGGGGUAUGCUAGUAAAUGAGACCCUGGGGAAGUAAUGUCCCUACCGUAUGAUGUUUGUUGGUGUUUUUAAUUUAAAGAAAUUAUGGUUUGUAUAUGAACUCAGUGUAUUUUGUAAGUCUGCAGAAGUUGAUUAAAGCCAUUGUUACUAAUUUGCAACAAGGAAUAGAGACCGUGGAAAGUUAGGCCAAUAGAGACAAGUUGGAACUGGGACGUGACAAAUUAAAGACCAGUUGGAACUGGGACCAUUGAAAACCAAUUGGAAUUGGGGCCAGUUGAACACCAGUUGAAUUGUCCAAAAACACACAACACCCACAAU